rnacentral:rRNA from 1 species
CCUACGGGAGGCAGCAGUGAGGAAUAUUGGUCAAUGGGCGCGAGCCUGAACCAGCCAAGUAGCGUGAAGGAUGAAGGCCCUACGGGUUGUAAACUUCUUUUAUAAAGGAAUAAAGUGAGGCACGUGUGCCGUUUUGUAUGUACGUUAUGAAUAAGGAUCGGCUAACUCCGUGCCAGCAGCCGCGGUAAUACGGAGGAUCCGAGCGUUAUCCGGAUUGAUUGGGUUUAAAGGGAGCGUAGGUGGGUUGUUAAGUCAGUUGUGAAAGUUUGCGGCUCAACCGUAAAAUUGCCAUUGAUACUGGCAGUCUUGAGUACAUUUGAGGUAGGCUGCAUUCGUGUUGUAGCGGU